GAUGAACGCUGGCGGCGUGCUUAAUACAUGCAAGUCGAACGAAUUGAAGAUGUGCUUGCACAUCUGAUGUUAGUGGCGAACGGGUGAGUAAUACAUAAGCAACUUGCCCCAAGGACUGGGAUAACACUUAGAAAUGAGUGCUAAUACCGGAUAGGUAAUACAAAGGCAUCUUAGUAUUAUUAAUGUUGGGUAUCCAACACCAUGGGAUGGGCUUAUGCUGUAUUAGCUAGUUGGUGAGAUAAAAGCCCACCAAGGCGAUGAUACAUAGCUGGUCUGAGAGGAUGAACAGCCACAUUGGGACUGAGACACGGCCCAGACUCCUACGGGAGGCAGCAGUAAGGAAUUUUCAGCAAUGGAGGAAACUCUGACCGAGCAACGCCGCGUGAGUGAUGAAGGCCUUCGGGUUGUAAAGCUCUGUUGUAAAGGAAGAAUGUAUAGAAAAGGAAAUGUUUCUAUAGUGACGGUACUUUACUAGAAAGUCACGGCUUACUACGUGCCAGCAGCCGCGGUAA
rnacentral:rRNA from 1 species